UGGCUUUUCAUAGAUCAUUUGUAAGG
rnacentral:piRNA from 1 species